GAUGAACGCUGGCGGUAUGCCUAACACAUGCAAGUCGUACGAGAGUUUUUAACUCUAGUGGCGGACGGGUGAGUAACACGUGAGAAUUUGCCUUUAGGAGGGGGAUAACAAUUGGAAACGAAUGCUAAUACCCCAUAUGCUUUUGAGUGAAACGGAUUUAUCCGCCUAGAGAGAAGCUCGCGGCUGAUUAGCUUGUUGGUAAGGUAAGAGCUUACCAAGGCGACGAUCAGUAUCUGGUUUGAGAGGACGAUCAGACACACUGGAACUGAGACACGGUCCAGACUCCUACGGGAGGCAGCAGUGGGGAAUUUUCCGCAAUGGGCGAAAGCCUGACGGAGCAAUACCGCGUGAGGGAAGAAUGCCUAUGGGUUGUAAACCUCUUUUUCAGGGAGGAAUAAAAUGACGUGUACCUGAAGAAUAAGCAUCGGCUAACUCCGUG
rnacentral:rRNA from 1 species